UACGUAGGGUGCAAGCGUUAAUCGGAAUUACUGGGCGUAAAGCGUGCGCAGGCGGCUUUGCAAGACAGAUGUGAAAUCCCCGGGCUUAACCUGGGAACUGCAUUUGUGACUGCAUGGCUGGAGUGCGGCAGAGGGGGAUGGAAUUCCGCGUGUAGCAGUGAAAUGCGUAGAUAUGCGGAGGAACACCGAUGGCGAAGGCAAUCCCCUGGGCCUGCACUGACGCUCAUGCACGAAAGCGUGGGGAGCAAACGGG
rnacentral:rRNA from 1 species